rnacentral:rRNA from 1 species
AGUGAACGCUGGCGGUAGGCCUGACACAUGCAAGUCGAACGGCAGCACAGUAAGAGCUUGCUCUUACGGGUGGCGAGUGGCGGACGGGUGAGGAAUACAUCGGAAUCUACUUUUUCGUGGGGGAUAACGUAGGGAAACUUACGCUAAUACCGCAUACGACCUACGGGUGAAAGCAGGGGAUCUUCGGACCUUGCGCGAUUGAAUGAGUCGAUGUCGGAUUAGCUAGUUGGCGGGGUAAAGGCCCACCAAGGCGACGAUCCGUAGCUGGUCUGAGAGGAUGAUCAGCCACACUGGAACUGAGACACGGUCCAGACUCCUACGGGAGGCAGCAGUGGGGAAUAUUGGACAAUGGGCGCAAGCCUGAUCCAGCCAUACCGCGUGGGUGAAGAAGGCCUUCGGGUUGUAAAGCCCUUUUGUUGGGAAAGAAAAGCAGCAGGUUAAUACCCCGCUGUUCUGACGGUACCCAAAGAAUAAGCACCGGCUAACUUCGUG